rnacentral:misc_RNA from 1 species
CAGUGGUUAAGAGCACUGACUGUGCUUCUGAAGGUCCUGAGUUCCAAUCCCAGCAAACACAUGGUGGUUCACAACCAUCUGAUGCCCUCUU